rnacentral:rRNA from 1 species
AAGCAGUAAAGAUGGCGAACAAGGUCUCCGUUGGUGAACCAGCGGAGGGAUCAUUA